UGUCUAAGUAUAAACCAAUCUAUACGGUAAGACUGCGAACGGCUCAUUAAAUCAGUUAGAGUUUAUUUGAUAAUCACUUUCUACUUGGAUAACUGUAGGAAUUCUAGAGCUAAUACAUGCGCAAAACCCUGACUUUUGUGGAAGGGGUGUAUUUAUUAGACAAAAGACCAACUCACGACUUGUCGUGGUUUUUGGUGAAUCAUAGUAACUUAACGGAUCGCAUGACUUUACGUCGGCGACGUAUCAUUCAACUUUCUGCCCUAUCAACUUUGGAUGGUAGGAUAGAGGCCUACCAUGGUUACAACGGGUAACGGGGAAUUAGGGUUUGAUUCCGGAGAGGGAGCCUGAGAAAUGGCUACCACAUCCAAGGAAGGCAGCAGGCGCGCAAAUUACCCAAUCGGGACUCCCGGAGGUAGUGACAAGAAAUAACAAUACGGGUCCUUCUGGAUUCGUAAUUGGAAUGAGUACAAUUUAAAAUCCUUAACGAUUAUCAAUUGGAGGGCAAGUCUGGUGCCAGCAGCCGCGGUAAUUCCAGCUCCAAUAGCGUAUACUAAAGUUGCUGCGGUUAAAAAGCUCGUAGUUGAACCUCAGAGUGGUCGUGUUGGUCCGCCGGUGGCGUGAACGGCUUGGCUGCUCUUUCCUUCUGAAAGACCGUUUCUGCUCUUGAUUGAGUGGGGCGGGGUUUCAGAUCGUUUACUUUGAAAAAAUUAGAGUGUUCAAAGCAGGCGUUAUAUGCCUUGAAUACAUUAGCAUGGAAUAAUAGAAUAGGACUUUGGUUCUAUUUUGUUGGUUUCUAGAACUGAAGUAAUGAUUAAUAGGGACAGUUGGGGGCAUUAGUAUUCCAUUGUCAGAGGUGAAAUUCUUAGAUUUGUGGAAGACUAACUACUGCGAAAGCAUUUGCCAAGGAUGUUUUCAUUAAUCAAGAACGAAAGUUUGGGGAUCGAAGACGAUCAGAUACCGUCGUAGUCCAAACCAUAAACUAUGCCGACUAGGGAUUGGAGGACGUGUUUCAUAACUCCUUCAGCACCUUAUGAGAAAUCAGAAGUUUUUGGGUUCCGGGGGGAGUAUGGUCGCAAGGCUGAAACUUGAAGGAAUUGACGGAAGGGCACCACCAUGGAGUGGAGCUUGCGGCUUAAUUCAACUCAACACGGGGAAACUUACCAGGUCUUGGACACAAGAAGGAUUGACAGAUUGAGAGCUCUUUCUUGAUUUUGUGAAUGGUGGUGCAUGGCCGUUCUUAGUUGGUGGAGUGAUUUGUCUGCUUAAUUGCGUUAACGAACGAGACCUUAACCUACUAAAUAGUUAUACUAUACCUUUUGGUAUGGUAGGCAACUUCUUAGAGGGACUAUUCGCGUUUAGCGAAUGGAAGCUUGAGGCAAUAACAGGUCUGUGAUGCCCUUAGAUGUCCUGGGCCGCACGCGCGCUACACUGAUGCAGCCAACGAGUUGAUUUCCUUGGCCGGUAGGUCCGGGUAAUCUUUUCAAACUGCAUCGUGAUGGGGAUAGAUUCUUGCAAUUAUUAAUCUUCAACGAGGAAUUCCUAGUAAGCGCGAGUCAUCAGCUCGCACUGAAUAAGUCCCUGCCCUUUGUACACACCGCCCGUCGCUCCUACCGAUCGGAUAUUCCGGUGAAAUCUUUGGACCGCGCAUUGCAGCCUGGCGACAGGACGCGAUGUUCCGGGAAGUUGAUUGAACCUUAGUAUCUGGAGGAAGGAGAAGUCG
rnacentral:rRNA from 1 species